AUACGAAGGGGGCUAGCGUUGCUCGGAAUCACUGGGCGUAAAGCGCACGUAGGCGGCUUCUUAAGUCAGGGGUGAAAUCCUGGAGCUCAACUCCAGAACUGCCUUUGAUACUGAGGAGCUUGAGUCCGGGAGAGGUGAGUGGAACUGCGAGUGUAGAGGUGAAAUUCGUAGAUAUUCGCAAGAACACCAGUGGCGAAGGCGGCUCACUGGCCCGGUACUGACGCUGAGGUGCGAAAGCGUGGGGAGCGAACA
rnacentral:rRNA from 1 species